GACGAACGCUGGCGGCGUGCUUAACACAUGCAAGUCGAACGGAAAGGCCCUGCUUUUGUGGGGUGCUCGAGUGGCGAACGGGUGAGUAACACGUGAGUAACCUGCCCUUGACUUUGGGGUAACUUCAGGAAACUGGGGCUAAUACCGGAUAGGAGCUCCUGCUGCAUGGUGGUGGUUGGAAAGUUUCGGCGGUUGGGGAUGGACUCGCGGCUUAUCAGCUUGUUGGUGGGGUAGUGGCUUACCAAGGCUUUGACGGGUAGCCGGCCUGAGAGGGUGACCGGCCACAUUGGGACUGAGAUACGGCCCAGACUCCUACGGGAGGCAGCAGUGGGGAAUAUUGCACAAUGGGCGGAAGCCUGAUGCAGCAACGCCGCGUGCGGGAUGACGGCCUUCGGGUUGUAAACCGCUUUCGCCUGCGACGAAGCGUGAGUGACGGUAAUGGGUAAAGAAGCACCGGCUAACUACGUG
rnacentral:rRNA from 1 species